rnacentral:lncRNA from 1 species
CCUGCUUCUUAUUUAUACCCCAACAGCACUGAGGCAGUGGAUAAUGGCUCCACUGUUGCAGUUACUGUACAGACAAAACUGUUGCAGCAACCUCUGCCAAACGUACAGUUUGGGUUAAGACUGAGCUGGAGGUGAAGGUCUAAUCAGAGAGCACUCAGAGCAAGUGAGGGAAUAUUAAAAGCUCCCUUGCAGUUCAGAGCAAAGAGAGGCCUCUAAGUAGGGCAGAUCUCCAUUCCGGGCUGUCAGAAGGCUGAGUUGUAACAUGAGCUGGGCUCCGUUUGCUUUUCCAUUUAUAUAAAAACCUUUUUGUUUCUUUUGUUACAAACUUAGACCUCCAGAAUAAAGCCUAGAGGAAGGGGGAGGGAGAGGAGCACUUGCUGCCUGAAAGAUGCAGUUUGUUGUUUGACCACUGUAUGCAGAAUACAGUUCCUGGCUAUCUGUUCAGUUUGCAGCAGCUCCUCUAUACCAGAUAAAAUACCUUAAAAAAUAAAGCUCAUGCCCAUAUCCAGAGAAUCUGACCCAGUCCCUGCCCCCAAGGACCCUACUUUGCAGAGGAAAGACUAAAGCACACCUGGAAAGAAGAGCAAGAAUGGUUUCCUUUUACAAUCCUCAUAGAAAAGGUUAUGUUGGCAGCAUGACUUGUGGCUCUGAGCCCAGCUGCAAGGAGAGACGUGUGCCUCCCACCACCUCCUCCCAGAAGGAUGUCAUCAAGGCAGCCCCGCCAGGGACCAGCACCUGGCCAAAUGGAAGAACAGCAAAUGGCUGGGUGGAAAGAUUCCAGACAGGGCUGGACUGGCAGCUGGAUCUUGCCCUCACUAUGUUCUGUGCGCUUAAUAGGUAUUGCAAUUAUCAUGUAAUUAAAGAACAUCAUAACAUGUACAAGUAG